rfam:Schistosoma mansoni strain Puerto Rico chromosome 5, complete genome
GCACUGCUGAGGAGUCCCACAUCAGGACGAGACGGUCGUCCAGUGU